AUUGAACGCUGGCGGCAUGCUUUACACAUGCAAGUCGAACGGUAACAGGUUAAGCUGACGAGUGGCGAACGGGUGAGUAAUGCAUCGGAACGUGCCCGGUCGUGGGGGAUAACACUUCGAAAGAAGUGCUAAUACCGCAUACGAUCUGAGGAUGAAAGCGGGGGACCGUAAGGCCUCGCGCGAUCGGAGCGGCCGAUGUCAGAUUAGGUAGUUGGUGGGGUAAAGGCUCACCAAGCCGACGAUCUGUAGCUGGUCUGAGAGGACGACCAGCCACACUGGGACUGAGACACGGCCCAGACUCCUACGGGAGGCAGCAGUGGGGAAUUUUGGACAAUGGGCGCAAGCCUGAUCCAGCAAUGCCGCGUGCAGGAAGAAGGCCUUCGGGUUGUAAACUGCUUUUGUACGGAGCGAAAAGGCUCUCUCUAAUACAGGGGGCUCAUGACGGUACCGUAAGAAUAAGCACCGGCUAACUACGUGCCAGCCGCCGCGGUAA
rnacentral:rRNA from 1 species